ensembl:lncRNA
CAUUACCCCAAACCUAGAAACUCCUCGUCCACCUUGCUCUCUGGAACCAUACACCAAUUUUGGAAGCAUCCCAGCCACUAGCUCAGCACCCUCUAUGGCCUCCUCCAUUCCCAGUACCCCGAGCAGCUGGAGAGCAAUGGAUUCUUCCGUGUUAAUCUCAAUCCCAAACCAUGUAUCCAUGAUUGGUCAAAAUCCAGGGUAUCAGGGUGUCCACCCUGGUGUUGAAACCCUUCCAAACCCACAAAGGGGGGCACAAUCUCAGAUUCAGUCCACUCUACCCCACACAGGACAAGUCAGACCUAACUACACCCCAGUGUCCUCUUCUCCCUCCACCCUAAACUCAGGUCUUCAGAGAUCAGGGGAGAGCGUCAUCACCAGCAAGACUUCUCAACACUUCUUCAACACUCACCCUCCAGUCAGUUCACCUUUACAUUGCCCUCAACCUCCAGAACAUGUAAAGGCAACUACUACUGUUCCAGCCCCAGUCUACCCAAGGUCCUGUUUGCAGCCUGCUGCCACAAGCUCUCAGUCCAUUGUUGAUGCUUUGAAUAAACUUGAUGCAGAGCUGCAAGGCCACAUGCAAGCGGAAGAGAGAAGGAGAGACCAGGAUGAAGAGAGAAAACGGAAUGUAGAACGACAAGAAAUGGAGACAAAGCCACAUGGUGAGUCUGCCAUCAAGAGUCUGGAACGUUUGCUGUCAGGUAGUGCAGCUGAGCCUCCACCUCCUCGUUUGUCUCCAGCCAGUGCACUCUCCUCCAUCUCACCUCAUAGCCAGAAUUCACCACCUUGGUUGAGUCGGGGAGGAGUGCAUCCACAUCUUUCUGGAACUGCAGCAAACGUUAUGGAACGGUCACAACCACCUCCCCUCACCCCCCAGACAGACUAUGCCCGUGAAAAGCAAAGGCAAAGAGAGAAAUGGAAGAGUGGCGCACCGUCUCAGAAUGGGAAUCCUACAUACCCCUCAGAGUCAGGUCUUAUCAGCCCCACCGACAACCACAGCCACACCAUGCAAUUGAAACCUGACCCAUCCAAAGAUGUCACCAUGUUGAAAACAAUUCAUAAUGCUGAGAUUAUAAAUGCAAUUCCCAACCCUCCACCCCUGCGAGAGCCACCCAAACUUUACCAGGCUUUCCCCAAGGAUGUUCGCUCUUCAUGCACACCUAUCAGCACGACUACAAACAGCCUUCAAAAACAUAUGCCCAGUACAGGACUUGGUAGUUUGGAUAGCAGUGCUAGAAGUUACAGUGGUGACUCUGAUGGUGCCCAAUUUGAGGAGGAAUCUUCUGAGCUCUUGCCUGAUGGAUUGGCUAACAUUAUGAAGAUGCUGGAUGAGUCCAUUAAGAAAGAGGAGGAGUUAUAUUCUGGCCAGAGCGGAGAACAGGCAGUAACGAAACAUCUGUUUUCUACAAAUGUGGCACCUAUAAAGAGUUAUUUGUGUGCACCAGACCUCAUGCCGGCCCUAAAGCAAUCUCCAACUGAGGAUUAUCAGCCAGAUGGCCAUGGAAGCCCACCUGUGUUAAGUCGGCAAGGUUCACUGGCAUCUCCUUGUAGUCGUACUUCUUCACUCGAGGAAGAAGAGGAGGUUCUUAAGGUUAUUACCAAGCCUGCCAAUUCCAUUAGCAUGCAGUCUCAAGAAAACAAUCUUGCCACAACAGGAACCAACUAUCGCCACAGUGACUUGGCCAAGCUGUAUGGCCUUCCAGAGGUAGAGAAAAGUGAGUGUGAGGAUGACGAAGAAGCAUAUCGAGAUGAAGAUGAAACUCCAUCCUGUUCACCACCACCACAGCGGCCACAUCUCCAUCAGACAGGUGUGAACAGCAUGUUUAAAAACCUUGCGUCUGUACUUGAGAGCCAGAAGUACACCUACCGAGGUGGACCCUUUGGUCGUCCUCCUCCCUCUGCUUUUAUGGGAGUGAAGUACUCUUCAUCUCUUUCUCUGGAGCCUGACAUUUGCAGACAACAACAAAGCACUUCUCCCACAUCAGGUUCAUCCAAUCACCCAGGUUUUAGCAGUCCAAUGCAAACCUCUGCCAUUAGUAACUCAGGACAGCCCUGUCCCCUCUCACCUACAGACUGGGCAUCAGAGAGGAAAAGAGGGGAUAAAAUAAGCCAGCCAGAUCUUUUGGGCGAUGAUGAUGAGGAAGAUAUUUCAGAGGAAUCCACAGGAGAGAAGGAUUCUGGAACAGUGAAGGACUUGUUGAAAAAACGACCAAUACUGACCACCAUCUCUGAGUCUUCACUAGCGGAGCUUGGUC